AAGAGUAUCCUGACCCAUUAUCAGCUGAUGGCUGGAGAAUAACAUCUUCAAGAAAACUCCCCACAAAGCGGUCACUUGGAAAGGAAACUUAUGGCAGCAUUUAUACACAAAAUGCAAGUGUAUGCAUUUAAUACAAGAUAUCACAUGCCUAGAAAAGCUGGUCCAGGAUCCUGCAGACACUGUAGCAGGAGUAGAAACACAGACCGAAUGUCCAUGGACGUCACCUUUGGAUAUGUUUGCACUUACCGCUCAGAAUGCUUCCCUAAAAGAACAGUUGUCACAAAAAGAAGUCCAAGUUGAAGAAUAACAGUCUGCACUUUCAUCAAAGUGUUGUGAAAUUCAGAUUUUAAAGCAACU